CACCAACAUGGCGGCUGCCUGACCGCUGCCCCGCCGCCACCGACACGGGGAGCGGGGGAGCGCCGCCGCCCGCCCGGCCGCACACAGGUUGUGCCAAGGAAUAAACCAAGAAAAAGCUUUGUUUUAUCCUAGCAUGGCAAAUGAGGAAGAUGAUCCAAUUAUACAAGAGAUUGACGUAUUCCUGGCCAGAAGUCUACUGGAGAAGCUCUAUCUGUUUCAGUAUCCCAUUCGCCCAGCUUCCAUGACCUACGAUGAUGUUACACAUUUAUCAGCGAAGAUAAAACCAAAGCAGCAAAAGGUUGAACUCGAAAUGGCCAUUGAUACUUUGAAUCCUAACUACUGUCGCAGCAAGGGAGAGCAGAUCGCUCUCAACGUGGAUGGCACAUGUACAGAUGAAACAAGCACCUAUUCCUCGAAGCUGAUGGACAAGCAAACUUUCUGCUCUUCCCAAGCUGCCAGUAAUGUUUCCCGCUAUGCAGCUGCUGUUUAUAAAAAAGGUGAACUUCACUUGACUCCACUACAUGGAAUUCUUCAGCUGAGGCCAAGCUUCACCUACUUGGACAAGGCUGAUGCAAAACACAGAGAAAGAGAAGCUGCUAAUGAAGGUGGUGAUUCAUCCCAGGAUGAAGCUGAAGAUGAUGUUAAACAAAUUACUGUCCGAUUCUCCCGCCCUGAGACCGAACAAGCUCGACAGCGACGUGUUCAGUCCUAUGAGUUCUUGCAGAAGAGACAAGCAGAAGAGCACUGGGUUCAUCUGCAUUAUUAUGGCUUGAAGGAUAGCCGUUCUGAACAUGAGCGCCAGUAUUUAUUUAGUCAAGGUCAUGGCCUUGCUGAAAACACUGAAUUAAUUAAAACUCCCAGUGAAUAUUUAAUGAUGCUGAUGCCUCCAAGCGUAGAGGAAGAGAAUAACAAACCAAUGGCUCCAAGCAACGUGCUUUCUAUGGCCCAGCUGAGAACUUUACCCCUUGCUGAUCAGAUCAAGAUCCUGAUGAAGAACGUGAAGGUGAUGCCGUUCGCCAACCUGCUGAGUCUGCUGGGCUCGGGCACCGACCCCACGGCCGUGCUGCGCUGCGUGCAGCAGGUGGCGCUGCUGGUCCAGGGAAACUGGGUGGUGAAGAGUGAUGUUCUCUACCCGAAAGAUACUUCUAGUCCCCAUAGUGGAGUUCCUGCAGAAGUACUCUGUAGAGGGAGAGAUUUUGUUAUGUGGAAGUUCACACAGGACCGCUGGGUUGUGAGAAAGGAAGUAGCAGCAGUUACAAAACUUUGCCCAGAAGAUGUGAAAGACUUCCUAGAGCACAUGUCUGUGGCAAGAAUAAACAAAGGUUGGGAGUUCAUGCUUCCUUACGAUGAAGAUUUUGUUAAGAAGCAUCCAGAUAUCGUUCAGAGGCAACAGAUGCUGUGGAUGGGCAUUCAGGCCAAGUUAGAAAAGGUCUAUAAUCUCUUAAAGGAGCACUUGACACCAAAGAAACAAGAGGCACAAUCAGCUCAUCCGUUGCUGGUUUCUGGGGAGCAAAGGGUCAACAUGGCUAAAGCAAAAGUCAAGCAGAACUAUGGGCAGCUGGAGAAGGAGUUCCAGAAGCAGAAGGCAGAGAUGAAAUCAAACGACGCCUCUGCCAAGACGGAUGUUCCAAAUAUCCACAUUAAAGAGGAGCCUGUGAGUGUGGAGGAGCCCAUGGAUACCUCAGCCCACGAGGGCCUGAACAACGGCCUGGUCAAUGGCCUGCACCCAGCCCAGGGCUCCACAGAGCCUGUGAAUGGCCACCUGCCCGGGGGCUGCAUCGACAGGGUCGCCCAGGAACUGAAGGCCUUUGUGUCGUCAACAUUUAAGAAACAAUUUGUACUCACCCUGAGUGAGCUUAAACGGUUAUUUAACCUUCACUUAGCCAGUCUGCCUCCAGGACAUACCUUGUUCAGUGGCAUUUCAGACAAAAUGUUACAGGACAUGGUGUUGGACACUGGCUGCAAACAGAUUUUGGUGCCUCCUCUUGUUCUCAGUUUCCUCCACAGACUGCUGCCUCACCAGAUGAACUAAAGGUCUAUGCACUUUGGGAAGCUGGUGACACUUACGAUCAGCAUCGCCAAGUUUUGCUUGAAAUCUUUUCGAAGAACUACCGAGUGCGCAGGAAUGUCAUCCAGAACCAGCUGAGUCAGGAGUGUGGGGAGGAUCUAAACAAGCAGGAGGUGGAUAGAGUGUUAAAGGACUGUUGUGUCAGCUACGGUGGAAUGUGGUAUCUUAAGGGGACGGUGCAGUCCUGACAGCGGUGGCAGCGGUGUCAGGCGAUCUCGGGGACGCAAGAGGAACCCACAGCAGGCAGCACAGCCGGAGCAAUGCCGUGGCCUCGGCAGCCAGGCCGGGAUCUGAGCUGCUCUGGGGCACGUGGGCAUCGCGGGCAGCCACUGACAUCCCAACACCCAGAGUUCGCAUGGCCUCCGAGGCACAGGAGCCGCCGGGAAGGCACCACGGGACCCUGUCUACAGCUUGAUUAUCUGGGAUUUCUAAUGUAUUGCAAUUCUCCUUCUGUUUCGUUAUGAAAAAAUAAAACCAUAUAGUGACACAGA